UUAGUAUGUAGUUGCUGAAUGCGUGAAUAACAGCAGUGACAAUAAGAAUGGAUGCGUCUGGCUUCAGGAGAGAACGGUGGGAUUAUCAAAGCAGGAUGUGGGCUGGAUUGAUGCCAUUCGAACAGCCGUCCCGGGUCCUAGAGAGCCUGGAGGGGCCCCGGGGCUGCAGCGGGGUGAGAAGGCGUCAGGGCCUGAGGUGGCCCCCUUUGUGCCUCAAAGGUCACUCAAGCUCCACUGCUCCUCCCCAGAGGGCACCCACUCCACUUCCAUCUAUUCACAUGCCAGAUCUCCAUACCGGACCCGGUCUGAAGAAAGGGUUUCCUGCUAAAUAAAAUAAGCAAUGACGACAAUAAUGGUAAUAGUAAUGUCUGAAACGUCGCUGGCCUAGGGAACCCAGUCAGGUACUUCAGCACUAAAAUCAAAAUGCGUGGGUCCUCUCUCCCUUUGCUGAAAGUCAUUUGGUUGGGCAGCGCAGGGCUCCCCACAGCAGGUGUUCGUCCUGCCGAGACGCCUGGCCUUGUGGGUACGCGUUCCAGGUAAACAGGGUUGUAAGUUAACUCGUCCAUUCAGGACGUCACAAGAGGCGCUCAAUGAACCGAAAAGAAAACAGCCCCUGGGCGCCUUCAGCGCCCACACUCCAGCGGCUUCUGAAAGGAGCGUCUCGGCAAGGAAACAAAGCCUCCCGCCUGGGCCGCAGGAGCCCAUCCUGCCCACGCGGUUCCAGAGUCUGAACCAGGGAGGGGGGGCUCGGCGCUCGGGCAGCAUCGCAGGGCCGCACUGAAGGGCCUCGUCUCCCGGUCAGCGGGGAACGUGCGGCGGGGCCCCUGUGCUCCCAUCCUGCCCCAGAUGGUCACCGCCGGCUCACGGGGCUGUCUGCCCACCUGGGGCCCACAUGUCCACGCUCCACUCCGCCCAAAAGCAGCAUGGACGAAUACCUCUCUACAUGCAGGAUCUCCUGAGCGUCAGGCCAGGACGCCAUCACCAAAGGCGGGUCCAGCUGUCUGGGCGGUGGCUGCCGGUGCCUUGUGAGCCGCCCACACUUGCUCUUGGCGGAGGGCAAGCUCGAUGGCUGUGAGGCUCACUCUUAGGCGAAACAAGGCACACAGUGCACAGAAUCUUUCCCGCCUACCCCCAGAGCAGACUGUAGGGUGCGGAAAGCACAUCCUGUGUCACUAGACAAGGCGGAGGCCUGACAAAGGCCCUUUUGAGAAUCCCAGGACGUCCUAACAAACCAAAAAGGAUCAGCAGUGAGAAGACCCCGUGCGGUGUGAUGACGAGAGCGGGCGUCGUGGGCGGAGUCGGAGGGCCAGGUCAGCACCUCUGAACUCGCAGAGGAGAAGAGAUGAGCAGGGUCACCUCGGAACGCGGAGAAAAGGGGCUGCCCAGCUCUCCGUGAGGAGGCAGCCAGAGCGCCCUCGCCGCGGACAGGCGCUGUCGGCUGUGCUUCCCCCACGUUCCUUACGAGGCGACUCUGGACUGGACAGAAGACGUUUGCGAGAUUAAGGUGGGAUCGAUAUUGCGGCCCAGAGGACAGCGCAGCGCGGGCUUGAAACCAGCAGGCGGGUGGAGGCCCGACCGGGGGCGGCGACGGCAGCCUUAAAGUCCGGCCCCCGCGCAGCAGGCACAGGAAAUAAGAUCAUCACGGGGGAUACAGGACGCCCCGGAAGCUUCCAGACGAGAGGAGCGCCGGUGGGCGUCGGGCUGGGAUCCGUUCCCUGUCGGGAGCGCCAGAUGACGCAGCACCCGCCUGAGUCAGGCUCCUUCGGGCCGCGCCGCCAGAGGACGCGAAACCGCUCAGCGUUAAGACGAGAAAAAGCCCCCGAGGCCUGCGCGGCGGAGGUCACGUCUCACGGAGCUCUUCCUCCGCCUGCCCCUCCUGCCGGAUCCUGCUCCUCCUCCGGCCGGGGCACCCCCUGCCCCCACCUCCGCUCUGAUGCCGUGUGGUCUCCCAUCUGCUGCGCCCUCCGCUAACAUCCCUGACUGAUGGGCGCGGACACCGAGCUCCCGCCAGCGUCGCAUCCAGGCGACUGUCCCAGAGGGACGCGGGAUGCACACCGGAGCCUGGACCCCGGAGGCGGGUGGCCGCUGCGCACGACUUCUCAGGGGGGCGUGGAGCCUGCGCCUGGGGCCACCUGGCCUCCGCGGAGCCCCUCUGCCGCCUGUCUGAGCCCCGCGGGGCAGUGGCCGGCCCGGGGUCCGGAGGCCCGUUUCACGAGUUCCCUGAACCUGCGUUUCUGCUCUGCUUCCGCUGCGCCCUGUGGGCCCCGCGGGACUUCCCACCACCCCACGCGGAGCCUGAGUUUUCCUAUUUAGGAGGCUGGUGGGGACGGCGGCUUUGGUUAACCCCAGCCCUCUCCGCGGGGUCAGUCUGUGCCCUGCGGAGUGAGGAGGAGCAGCCCGAGGCCCCUGCGGGCACCGCCCGGCCUGCGGCAGCCCGGGGUCUGCAAACGGGGCUGCGGCCGGCCUGGGUGAUCGGGCCAUCUUUCCUCACGCAGAUCAUUCGGGAGAAAGAAAGUCUGACGCCCCCGGACAGAAGAGCCCGCUCGAAGAACAGCAGCAAGAGGUCCUUGUCCAGUGUGUCAUUAAAAAAAAAAAAAAAA
rnacentral:lncRNA from 1 species